CUCUAGCUAAUCUAGUGGUGAGGAUUCCUGGUUUUCACCCAGGGGGCCCAGGUUCGGUUCCUGAGCAGAGA
rnacentral:tRNA from 1 species